GGGCAGCGGGAGGUAGCAAUACCUUGCCGGCGACCGGCGCAAGGGUGCGCAACGCGUGAGCAACAUGCCCGCAUCAGGGGGAUAACCUCUGGAAACGGAGACUAAUACCCCAUGGCACCGGGAGGGGGCAUCCCCAUCCGGUUAAAGCUUCGGUGGAUGCGGAUUGGCUCGCGUGACAUUAGCUUGAUGGCGGGGUAACGGCCCACCAUGGCUACGAUGUCUAGGGGUUCUGAGAGGAAGAUCCCCCCCACUGGAACUGAGACACGGUCCAGACUCCUACGGGAGGCAGCAGUGAGGAAUAUUGGACAAUGGAAGGAAUUCUGAUCCAGCCAUGCCGCGUGCAGGUUACGGCCCUACGGGUCUUAAACUGCUUUUGCAGGGGGGCAAUAAGGUCCACGUGUGGACCGAUGAGAGUACCCUGCGAAUAAGCAUCGGCUAACUCCGUGCCAGCAGCCGCGGUAAUACGGAGGAUGCGAGCGUUAUCCGGAUUCAUUGGGUUUAAAGGGUGCGUAGGCGGUCUGUUAAGUCAGCGGUGAAAUACCCCGGCUCAACCGGGGGGGUGCCGUUGAUACUGGCGGACUCGGAUACGGAUGCUGUGGGAGGAAUGUGUGGUGUAGCGGUGAAAUGCAUAGAUAUCACACAGAACACCGAUUGCGAAGGCAUCUCACAAAUCCG
rnacentral:rRNA from 1 species